rnacentral:lncRNA from 1 species
GCGGUGACUGAUCUUCCAGGAGAAGUAGGGGACGAGGAGGGCGGAGUGGAGGACGAGGCCGACGAGGUCGUCGAGGAGGGAGGAGUCGGAGAAGGCGUGGUGGCCGCACUCGUGGGCGAUGACCCAGACGCCGGUGAAGAUGCAGCCCUGGGCGGCCCAGUAGAGAGGCCAGGCGGCGAGGCGGAGGAGCGGCGGGGAGAGGGUCGGGAUGACGGCGAGGGCGACGUAGAAGAGGGCGGCGGAGAUGACGAGGUCGUGGACGACGUAGGAGAAGGAGCGGAGGACGGACCGCUGGAAGCAGUGCGGGGGGAUGGCCUUCUUGAUCUGGCUCAAUGUGAAUGGGGGUUUCUCC